GCUUCUGCCUGCGGCGCUUCUGCCUGCGGCAGUACCGCUUGCGGCAGUACUGCUUGUGGCGGGGCCUGCGGAGGCCGACGCCUGCGCGGAGAGAGCAG
rnacentral:sRNA from 2 species